GAUGAACGCUGGCGGCGUGCCUAAUACAUGCAAGUCGAGCGAACAGAUAAGGAGCUUGCUCCUUUGACGUUAGCGGCGGACGGGUGAGUAACACGUGGGUAACCUACCUAUAAGACUGGAAUAACUCCGGGAAACCGGGGCUAAUGCCGGAUAACAUUUAGAACCGCAUGGUUCUAAAGUGAAAGAUGGUUUUGCUAUCACUUAUAGAUAGACCCGCGCCGUAUUAGCUAGUUGGUAAGGUAACGGCUUACCAAGGCAACGAUACGUAGCCGACCUGAGAGGGUGAUCGGCCACACUGGAACUGAGACACGGUCCAGACUCCUACGGGAGGCAGCGGUAGGGAAUCUUCCGCAAUGGGCGAAAGCCUGACGGAGCAACGCCGCGUGAGUGAUGAAGGUCUUCGGAUCGUAAAACUCUGUUAUUAGGGAAGAACAAAUGUGUAAGUAACUGUGCACGUCUUGACGGUACCUAAUCAGAAAGCCACGGCUAACUACGUG
rnacentral:rRNA from 1 species